GUUAAUGUAGCUUAAAUUUUUAUAAAGCAAGACACUGAAAAU
rnacentral:tRNA from 1 species